AAGACUAUAGACCUGCGGAGUACCUGCGGAAGGAUCAUUAUUGAUUUUUAACAGGAUGUGCUGGCUCUCAAGGGGGCAAUGUGCACUCCUAAUAAAACCAAUAUCCACCUGUGCACCUUAAGUAGACUAGUAGGACUCAUCACAGUCUUUCCAGUCUAUGUUCCUUCACAAACCUUUUGAAAUGUAAAUGAAUGAUCAUCUGUAUAAUUAAUAACAACUUUUAACAAUGGAUCUCUAGAU
rnacentral:misc_RNA from 1 species